rnacentral:piRNA from 1 species
UCCAGCUCAUUUGAUUGCUCAGUGUGUUC